rnacentral:pre_miRNA from 1 species
AGUGGAAUUGCUGGGUUAUGCAGUAACUCUAUGUUUAGUAUUUUGAGGAAUUAACAAACUGUUUUCCAAAGUGGCUACACUGCCUUACAUUCCCAUUAGCAAU